rnacentral:rRNA from 1 species
CGAAACCGAGUGAUCUACCCUUGGCCAGGUUGAAGGUUGGGUAACACCAACUGGAGGACCGGAUGGGUAAGCGUUGAAAAGCUUUCCAAUGAGCUGAGGGUAGGGGUGAAAGGCUAAUCAAACUCGGAGAUAGCUCGUACUCCCCGAAAUGCAUUUAGGUGCAGCCUCUUUAUAGUAUAUCGUGAGGUAGAGCGACUGAUUGGAUGCGAGGGCUUCACCGCCUAUCAAGUCCAGAUAAACUCCGAAUGCGCGAUAUAUAUUUAAAGGGAGUGAGGGCGCGGGUGCUAAGGUCCGUGUCCGAGAGGAGAAGAAUCCAGACCACCGGCUAAGGCCCCCAAAUGAUCGUUGAGUUGAACUAACGAGGUCGGAUCGCAGAGACAGCUAGGAUGUUGGCUUGGAAGCAGCCAUUCAUUUAAAGAGUGCGUAACAGCUCACUAGUCGAGCGAUCUGGCGUGGAUAAUAAUCGGGCAUAAACGAUCUGCCGAAGCCGUGGAUGUCGUAAGACAUGGUAGGGGAGCAUUCCAUGCGGCGUCGAAGAUGAGGGAUGACCCUUGUUGGAGCGCAUGGAAAAGCAAAUGUAGGUAUGAGUAACGAUAAGGGGGGCGAGAAACCCCCCCGCCGAAAGACCAAGGUUUCCUGAUCAACGCUAAUCGGAUCAGGGUGAGUCGGGACCUAAGGCAAAGCCGAACGGCGCCGCCGAUGGAAGAAUGGGUUAAUAUUCCCAUACUGCCUCAUGGAGUGACGUGGAGACGGAGAAGUGACAGUCCUGCCGGCUGACGGAAUAGCCGGUUGAAGGGUGUAGGAGUUGAUCA